UCUACUCCUAGAACUCAGGCAAAGAAUACCGACAGGAAGAGCAGAUUUCUCAAUCUGGAAGAAUUUGGGUUUUGAAUGAACCUUUGGGAUUGAGAGAAAGAGGGUUUCUUAAUCUCCUUUUGCUCUUCUUACUUUUAGCCUUUAAUAUUCAAGGAAGAGUUUCUCCAGUCAGAUUUUUAAGAACAGAUUCGUUCUUUCUUACACAGGUUUUAAUUCUGCAUAAAGCAAUGGAUGCCUAUGAAGUUAUUCCUGCUUUUCUUUGGUUUUAACUGCAAAAGGAAUUCAUUUGACUUCUUUUUAACACAAGAAAUGGCAGGAUUUUGCUGACUUUGAUUACCUCUUCCUUCCCUGUGCUUACCCCAAGAUGCACCAAGCCCCUAAACUUGUGGAGGCAGGUUAAAAUUCCAAGAGCAAAGUGUCAAAGUGUGCUUUUCUAACUUGAUCUUGGAUUCUUUACCAGUUGCAGAGAACUUGGCAACAUCUUUCUGGAAGGAAGGAAAGGCUCAGUAUGGAAACACAAUCAUGUGAUCACACCCUCCAGGGAGUUCAGAGCCACACUGAAAACAUUGUUCACCCUGCCUGGUCAGCUCGACUUUUAACUCACAAAUAUUUGCCUUUCCUAAAACCUUACUUUCCAAAUAAUCCAUCUGAGACCAUGAACUCUACUGAGGGCAAAUAAACCAACUGGAACAACUGUGUUUGUUAGGGUUUUAUAUCAGCAAUCUUGGAAAUCAAGGAGUUAUUAUUCUGAUUAAAAGCAGCGCUGGUAUAGGAGAGUGUGAAAGUCACUUCAGAAGAGUGCUAGAAUUUUAGUACACAAUCAAAACACAGCAGCUUCUGCAGUUUAGAUUAAGAAAUAACACAUGUAUAAAUCUAACUUCUUUCAUGAUGAGAUAUUGCCAGGAAUCGGUGAGCAAAUCAGCCUUUUCAGCUACCACGAGCCUACCAGACUAAAGGCCAAGUAAGUUCAGUGUAGAUUCAGCUCUCAAUGAAUUCAGUGGGAAUGGAAAGCUCUUCAGUUCAUCACAAGACUGAGCUCUAGGAGCUCAACUGGGCCAGCUAUUAUUAACUGCUUUCCAACCUGGAUGAGUACAUUGCUACCAACAGAGUCCGAGUUGUCUUUGCAGGAUAUAGAUGCUGUGGUGUCCUUACGGAUUACUCAAAAAGCCUUUGGAAAAGACCAUAUCUCACAGGAGGUCAUCUACGUGCAUCUGAAUUUGAGAGGGGCCAAUGUGCUGCACUGGAUCCAGCUGAGAAAAUCACAACCUGAAACUAGCAGAGAGACCUUUGAAACCACACCUGAGGGCAAAAAUAAAAGAAACUGAAUGCAGAUUGCAUGAAUGAAAACAAACUGUCCUCAUUCACUAAUCUCUCCAGGAAGGAGACAGACCUUUGUUCCAAGUUUCUUCUGUAGCAAAUAUUUGUGGACAAUCACUGAGGAUAAAGAAAGCCAUAAUGGGAACCACCCAGAUGUAAGUGUAUGUGAGAAGUUAUUUCAUUUCCUAGGCUUGGCAGGAAAGAUGUGCUUCUGUGAGGACAUCCAACUUGGGUCAUUAAUAGGAAAGCACUAGGAUCUUCUCCAUUAAAACAGAAAUCCAGCUCCUACCACUGCAGCUAAAAGAAGAAAUUCGUAACUUGCACAGUUUCACUGCAUGUGGAUAUACCCCUCUCUGCAUCAAACAUAGUAAGAAUAGCAGACAGGGGAAACUGGAUAGAUUUUUAUCGAUCUUGAUGGCUAAACCACUGGGAUGUGUUUGUUCACAG